AACCUUUGCUGUCUUGGGACGGAUCACCGCUGCAAGAGGGGAAGUUGCUACUGUGAUGAAUUCUGCCAUGUGGCACCAGACUGCCACCCAGACCACAGUGUCCUCUGCAACCCUGGUAACUCACAUACAGGCCCGAUUCCACCUACAGCAAAGCUGGAUGCGAUGGCUGGCAGAGGCAAACCCUUUGCCUGCACUUCAGGCCAAAGCCGGGAUGUGGCCUAGAUGGUUCCUAAGCUUCUCAGAUGACCAAGAUGGUGCUGCAGAUGGUGCUGAGGAUGGAGAACCCACCAAGCCCCGCUAGGAGCCACCUAGACUGGAUGCAGAGCAUGGCUAAAACCUUUGAAGAAGAAUUUAUUAUAUCCUACAAACCUGGGAGGCAGAGGUUGCAGUGAGCCAAGAUUGGGCCAUCGCACUCCAGCCUGGGCAAUAAGAAUGAAACUCUGUCUCAAAAAAAACAAAAGUUGGCCAGGGCUGGGCGUGGUGGCUCACACCUGUAAUCCCAGCACUUUGGGGGGCUAAAGCAGGUGGAUCACCUGAGGUCAGAAGUACGAGACCAUCAUGGCUAAUAUGGUGAAACCCCAUCUCUACUAAAAAUACGAAAAAAGAAAAAAAAAA
ensembl:lncRNA MUC20-OT1 MUC20 overlapping transcript